rnacentral:sRNA from 1 species
UCUAGGCCAUCCAAGGCUACAUAUCAGCACUGUCAAGACAGCCAGCCAGCCAGCCAGCCAGCCAGCCAGCCAGCCAGCCAAGAAAUUCCAAACAAAACAGCCCCAAGCAAAAACCAAAACAAAACUAUAAGCAUUUGGAAUUUGGUAUUUAAGAUGCUCCAGCCAUGCUCCUGAUGGGAGAAGGAUAAUUACGGUCUUGAAAGCUUCAGUUUUUCCAAGAUCCAAACUACUUAGAGAACAGUUUCUGUUUUCAACCUCCAUCCAUUCUACUCUUGUUGAAGCCUCUGACGGGGACAUUUGGCACCUACAUUGCUGAACUGGAGGAAAGUGACCUGUCACAACAGCAUCCCUGUACAGACACCAGGUGCCCAGUUAAGUUGCCUAGAGACACCAGCAAACCCAAAGCUUCCUCUGGAGAGUAAACAGGGGCAGAAUAGGCUAUGGAGUCCAAAAGGCGGCUUCGAUUGCGCCAGCUCCCUGUUUGCGUAAGUAUCCAUCCAAGCAUGGACUGGAAGCCCUGGAGACCCGCUGGUGGAUCACACCACAGAAACAACCUUCAAAUUCUAACUGAUGCCCGAUGGACAUCAGCUAUCAACAAAUGUCAAAUGAAUCCAGACGACUGCCCUCGAUCUUUAGGUUCGACAGAACACUGACUGGCAGGGUCUGCAGGAUGCACAGUCUACACACAGGCCUCGUUAACAUCAACCACGGAAGAGGGAAGAUGGGGCAACAACUUCUAACUAAAGCUGUGCCUCUAUCUGUAGUUUCACUCAGGAUUAAAUAGAAUGAAGUUUGUCAGCUGAGUUAAAAUGACUGAACAAGUAUCUUAACAUUUUCAUGGAAAAAAAUCCCAAAAGGACACAAUCUACAAGAAAGAAAAACUAUCAGAAAUAGGUGGGUUGGAGAGAUGGUUAAGAAUUUUGACUGCUCUAUCAGAGGAACCCAGUUUGAUUCCCAACACCCACAGUCAUAAAAUAAAAAUAAAAUAAAUUCCCA